CCUUGGAGUCCGGAGUAACUUGGCCAGGCUGGCCCCGAGCGGAACUGGAGAAAGCUGAGGGGGUUGGGCAUGUUCCAGGAUCUGUCUAUCGACUUCUCUCAGGAGGAAUGGGAGGGCCUGGACACUGCUCAGAAGGACUUAUAGAGAGAUGUAAUGAUGGAGAACUAUAGCAGCCUGGUCUCACUAGGUCUCUCUAUCCCAAAGCCUGAUGUGAUUUCCUUACUGGAGCAAGGGAAAGAGUCCUGCAUGGUUUCAAGGGACGUACCAGGAGGAUGGUGCCCA
rnacentral:lncRNA from 1 species